AACAAACGCUGGCGGCGUGCCUAACACAUGCAAGUCGAGCGCGAACGGUUUCUUCGGAGAUCUAGUAGAGCGGCGAACGGGUGAGUAACGCGUGGGUAAUCUGCCCUCUGGUGGGGAAUAACCAUGGGAAACUGUGGCUAAUGCCGCAUCAGCUCUAGGACUCUUCGGCGUCCUUGAGGAAAGCAUGCCUCUGCUUCAAGCAUGCGCCAGAGGAGGAGCCCGCGUCCCAUUAGCUAGUUGGUGGGGUAAUGGCCUACAAAGGCAACGAUGGGUAGCCGGCCUGAGAGGGUGAUCGGCCACACUGGGACUGAGACACGGCCCAG
rnacentral:rRNA from 1 species